rnacentral:rRNA from 1 species
UACGAGGGGAGCUAGCGUUAUUCGGAAUUACUGGGCGUAAAGCGCACGUAGGCGGCUUUGUAAGUUAGAGGUGAAAGCCCGGGGCUCAACUCCGGAAUUGCCUUUAAGACUGCAUCGCUUGAAUCCAGGAGAGGUGAGUGGAAUUCCGAGUGUAGAGGUGAAAUUCGUAGAUAUUCGGAAGAACACCGGUGGCGAAGGCGGCUCACUGGACUGGUAUUGACGCUGAGGUGCGAAAGCGUGGGGAGCAAAC